rnacentral:misc_RNA from 1 species
GUCUUCUUCUUCCUUGCUGGUUUUUGUUUGAGCGAGCAUAGUUAACGUUGGAAAAGUCCCCUAAAGGAAGCGGGACCCUAAAGAACUAAGUCUUCACCUAUUCUAGCUCCUUCUACACUCAUGGAUUUUGCACCGCCCUAAAUGCCCUCGUCAGUCUAGUCAUUUUCUUCUUCUCGUUUCCACUCAAGCUACCCAAGCCAAGCCUUCUCUCCG